rnacentral:rRNA from 2 species
UUAAUUCCGAUAACGAACGAGACUCUAGCCUGCUAAAUAGUUCGUCGAUCCGAAUGCGUCGACGCAACUUCUUAGAGGGACAAGUGGCUUUUAGCCACACGAGACUGAGCAAUAACAGGUCUGUGAUGCCCUUAGAUGUUCGGGGCCGCACGCGCGCUACACUGAAGGAAUCAACGUGCAUUUGCCCUUGCCCGGAAGGGUUGGGUAACCCGUUGAACCUCCUUCGUGCUAGGGAUUGGGGCUUGUAAUUCUUCCCCAUGAACGAGGAAUUCCCAGUAAGCGCGAGUCAUAAGCUCGCGUUGAUUACGU